rnacentral:rRNA from 1 species
UACGAAGGGGGCUAGCGUUGCUCGGAAUCACUGGGCGUAAAGCGCACGUAGGCGGAUUUUUAAGUCAGGGGUGAAAUCCUGGAGCUCAACUCCAGAACUGCCUUUGAUACUGGGAAUCUCGAGUCCGGGAGAGGUGAGUGGAACUGCGAGUGUAGAGGUGAAAUUCGUAGAUAUUCGCAAGAACACCAGUGGCGAAGGCGGCUCACUGGACUGGUAUUGACGCUGAGGUGCGAAAGCGUGGGGAGCAAGCAGG